rnacentral:ncRNA from 1 species
AUCGCGCUUGGUUGAAAGCCAGUGGCGCGAAGCUACCGUGCGCUGGAUUAUGACUGAACGCCUCUAAGUCAGAAUCCGGGCCAGAAGCGACGCGUUGUCCGCCGCUCGUUUGCCGACCAGCAGUAGGGGCCCUCCGGCCCCCAAAGGCACGUGUCGUUGGCUAAGCCCUCGCGGCGGACGAGCCGCGCGGGCCGCCUUGAAUUACAAUUUCCACCGGGCGGCGGACUGAAUCCUUUGCAGACGACUUAAAUACGCGACGGGGUAUUGUAAGUGGCAGAGUGGCCUUGCUGCCACGAUCCACUGAGAUUCAGCCCUUCGUCGCUCCGAUUCGU